rnacentral:tRNA from 1 species
CAUGUAGUCCAGAUGGAUAGGGUGCGCGUAUGGUAUGCCGGAGGUCGCGGGUUCAAUCCCCACUUG